rnacentral:rRNA from 1 species
UCCUACGGGAGGCAGCAGUGGGGAAUAUUGGACAAUGGGCGGAAGCCUGAUCCAGCCAUGCCGCGUGUGUGAAGAAGGCCUUAUGGUUGUAAAGCACUUUAAGCGAGGAGGAGGCUACUUUAGUUAAUACCUAGAGAUAGUGGACGUUACUCGCAGAAUAAGCACCGGCUAACUCUGUGCCAGCAGCCGCGGUAAUA